AGUAGUUGGAGGGUUGGGGUUUUUUUGUUUUUUUUUUCCAUUCAGUGGUAUCUAUGGAGCGCUUACUACGUGCAGAGCACUGUACUCGGCGCCCGGAAGGGACAAUCGGGCAACAGAUCGAGACGGUCCCUGCUCAAAGGGACUCCGAGCAACCGACGGGGACAAGGUGUCCAGCAAGGGGGGAGACAGGAAAGGGGGAUGGGGGGGGGUGGGGAGAAGAGAGAGCGCGCAGAUCCCAGGCGGGAGCUAAAAUCGAGCCUCUCCCCGCUGGCAGCAGCAGGAGGAGAAGGACGGGUCGGGACCGGUUAGCCGGCGGGGGUCGGCCGACGCUGGGAAAGUGGACAGCGGCGCCGGGCAGCGCAGAGGGGGUUCCCGCGACCUCGGGCGGCGAGGAGAUGGGGGGGACGGGGGCCGCCGCCGGGCUUCGGAGGGGGGAGCGCCCCCCGGCGGCGGGGCCGGUGCCGCACUCACCCGCUGGGGCCGGGGGGCCUCCCCGCGCUGUCGGAGGCGUCGGUGGGCCCUCCCUGGGAGCCGGGGACGUCACGCCGCCUGCCCCCCGACCCGCCCCCCACCUGCGCUCAAUGCCAACUUGGGCAGGAGCAGAGAGGACCCGCCGGCUUCCCUCCUCGCCUGCCCCCGCGAUAGGCUGAGUCCUUGCUUCUCUUUGGAGCUAAAACUCGGAGGAUUACCGUCACCUGAAUGCGCACGUUUCACCUGUCGGGAGAAUGGGGUGAGGAGUUAGGGGAAGCCAGCUGGCCCCCUCUAUCCCAAGAGUUCUGGAUCCGGUCGCGACCAACUUUUAGUGAGGACGAGAGGGCGCAGCGACGGCAAAGGGAAACGUUGGCAAGAGGUGCAGGGGUAGCCCCCCUGCAGCUCUCCAAACCAUGCACAGAGACCUCUCCUCCAUCAAAGAAGAGUCUGAGGGAACCUUGAUCGAGAGGCCCUUUCCCUGAGUGAGCUUCUCACCCCGAGAGAGAGAAUCUACUGUGUGGCCUCGGGUAAGUCACUUCACUUCUCUGGGCCUCAGUUACCCCCAUCUGUAAAAUGGGGGUUCAGACUGGGAGCCUCGAGAGGGACAGGGACUGUGCCCAAUCCGAUUGGCUUGUAUCCACCCCAGCGUUUGGUUCAGUGCUUGGCACAUAGUAGGCGCUUAAUACCAUAGUUGUUAUUAUUAAGUCAGGAUCAGAGUUAGCCACGCCAUCGAGGGAAGCAAUCCUGAUCUGGAAAAACCCGAGUUUCCCGGGAACGCACAGUCCCUUUUCUCUCCUCUCGCUCUCCUCCAUCCCCUCUCCCUCUCACCUUCCUUACUCACCCAACUCCAGCCCCUUUCUCUCCCUCUGCAUCCCCCAACCCCUCUCCAGCUCCUCCUCCAUUCCCUGGCCCUCUCACCUUCCUUACUCACCCCACUCCAGCCCCUCUUUCUCUUCCUCUGCAUCCCCCAUCCCCUCUCCAGCUCCUCCUCUAUCCCCUCUCCCUCCUUCUGGCGCCCUCGUCGGGGAAUCAGAGAGAGCUUCCUCGGGCCGGGCUUGUGCCUGAGCUGGGGAAAAAGUAUCCCAGACACUCUCCAGGGGCAGCAGGGGGGAGA
rnacentral:lncRNA from 1 species